UCCGCCUACGGGACGCAGCAGUGAGGAAUAUUGGUCAAUGGUCGGGAGACUGAACCAGCCAAGCCGCGUGAGAGAGGAAGGUACAGAGUAUCGUAAACCUCUUUUGUCAGGGAACAAAGGCGGGGACGUGUCCCCGGAUGAGUGUACCCGAAGAAAAAGCAUCGGCUAACUCCGUGCCAGCAGCCGCGGUAAUACGGAGGAUGCGAGCGUUAUCCGGAUUUAUUGGGUUUAAAGGGUGCGCAGGCGGUCUGUUAAGUCAGCGGUCAAAGCCCGGGGCUCAACCCCGGCCCGCCGUUGAAACUGGG
rnacentral:rRNA from 1 species